rnacentral:rRNA from 1 species
GACGAACGCUGGCGGCGUGCUUAACACAUGCAAGUCGAACGAUGAAGAAGAGAAACGCGAACUUCGGUUCAAAUUUCACUUCGGAUUAGUGGCAGACGGGUGAGUAACGCGCGAGCAACCUACCUCUUACAAAGGGAUAGCCUCGGGAAACCGUGAUUAAUACCAUAUGACACAUUCAUAAGGCAUCUUAAGAAUGUUAAAGCUACGGCGGUAAGAGAUGGGCUCGCGUCCCAUUAGCUAGUUGGUGAGGUAACGGCCCACCAAGGCGACGAUGGGUAACCGGCCUGAGAGGGUGAACGGUCACAUUGGAACUGAGACACGGUCCAAACUCCUACGGGAGGCAGCAGUGGGGAAUAUUGCACAAUGGAGGGAACUCUGAUGCAGCGACGCCGCGUGAGCGAUGAAGGAAUUCGUGUCGUAAAGCUCUGUUCUAUGGGAAGAAAAGGACUGUACCAUAGGAGAAAGCCCCGGCUAAAUACGUG